rnacentral:rRNA from 1 species
UAGGGAAUUUUGCGCAAUGGACGAAAGUCUGACGCAGCAAUACCGUGUGAGGGAUGAAGCAUUUCGGUGUGUAAACCUCUGUCGAUGGCGAAUAAAUGUUCGGGGAGUGGAAAGCCUCGGAUUUGAAGGUAGCCAUGAAGGAAGCACCGGCUAACUCUGUGCCAGCAGCCGCGGUAAUACAGGGGGUGCAAGCGUUGUUCGGAAUUACUGGGCGUAAAGGGAGCGUAGGCGGGAUUGCAAGACAGGGGUUAAAUCUCCGGGCUCAACCUGGAACUUGCCUUUGUGACUGCAGUCCUUGAGUAUGGUAGAGGUUGGCGGAAUUUCCGGUGUAGCGGUGGAAUGCGUAGAGAUCGGAAGGAACACCAGAGGCGAAGGCGGCCAACUGGACCAAUACUGACGCUGAGGCUCGAAAGUGCGGGGAGCAAACA